rnacentral:rRNA from 1 species
UGAGUGACCUGCCCUUGUGCGGGGGAUAACCCGGGGGAAACCCGGGCUAAUACCGCAUGUUCUCUUUGGGCUUCUGGGCCUGGGGAGGAAAAGUGCUGAAAGGCACUGCGCAGGGAGGGGCUCGCGGCGUAUCAGGUAGUUGGUAGGGUAACGGCCUACCAAGCCGAUGACGCGUAGGGGGUCUGAGAGGAUCGGCCCCCCCACAUUGGGACUGAGAUACCGGCCCAGACCUCCGUACGGGAGGCAG